ACGUUUUUUUCAUAGAGAUUUAGAUUUAAGGUUAGAAGAAUUGUGGAAGUCGUGAGACUUCCCUUUUUUUCAUCUUAACGUUUACUAUUCUUUGUUUGUAUCACUUGUAUUUGAGUAUGAAAAAUGGGGAAUAAGUAAACUUGAAAAGCCCUCUUCGUGAGAAGAGGCUUUUUU
rnacentral:sRNA from 1 species